AUAUGUGCGUGUGUGUGUACAUACACAUGUACAUAUAUAUUCUGUGUAUACUGUUUAGAUUUUGUCAUGGUGUGACGCAGUGACGCAGUGACGCAGUGACACUUUACAAUGAGGUGAAAUGCAUUAAUAACAAUUAUAAUUUAAAUUAAAUUAUUACGCUCAUGGUAAUUUAAAUGGUUUAGCAAAGGUUUUUUAAUGAAAAUCAAUCAAAUUAAGCGGACAUGGCAACACUGGAAGAAACCAUCGUUUAGGCAGGCGCCGGCUUUUCUCGCGUGAUUACACGUUCUGACGUCAUACUUCUUUGCGUUAGUCAAGGGAACUGCAGAGCGAUUUCACCUAUAUUUCUAUAAAGAGCGUUUUAGUUAAUUUAGUAUUUUAUCGUUCAUGCGUUCCCGAUUAAACACAUAUUUUAUGGCUGUAAUAUAGGACGUUGCAACGGAUACUUUGGACAGCAUUUUUGGACAUCAUCAGCGACCGACAUAGCAAGGCAGUCUUGGAUGGGUUGUGCAGACCUUAUGUUAUAGCUUGCUCUGUGUGGACAUCACCGCCACCGUGGAAGAAAACGGCAGCUCAUGGCACCAGGCCUACACAAACUCGGGCACCAGCCCCCUCCCAGCACCACCCGAACACUUGUGCAAGGCCUGCGGAGGCCAGUUUGACACCGUCAGAACGCAUGUCUGCGUGGACUGCAAAAACAACUUCU
rnacentral:lncRNA from 12 species